rnacentral:rRNA from 1 species
AUUGAACGCUGGCGGCAGGCCUAACACAUGCAAGUCGAACGAGUGGCGGACGGGUGAGUAAUGUCUGGGAAACUGCCUGAUGGAGGGGGAUAACUACUGGAAACGGUAGCUAAUACCGCAUACCAUCGGAUGUGCCCAGAUGGGAUUAGCUAGUAGGGGGGGUAAAGGCUCACCUAGGCGACGAUCCCUCGCUGGUCUGAGAGGAGGAAACGCCACACUGGGACUGGGACACGGUCCAGACUCCUACGGGGGGGCGCAGGGGGGAAUAUUGCACAAUUGGCGGAAACCUGAAGCAGCCAUGCCGGGUGUAGGAAGAAGGCCUUCGGGUUGUAAAGUACUUUCAGGGGGGAGGCGUUACCCGCAGAAGAAGCACCGGCUAACUCCGGGCCAGCAGCCGCGGUAAUUC